GAGGGUAUAGCUCAAGUGGUAGAGCACAUGCUUAGCAUGCAUGAGGUCCUGGGUUCAAUCCUCAGUACCUCCU
rnacentral:tRNA from 1 species